rnacentral:snRNA from 1 species
AAUUGAGAGCAAGCUGUCUGUGACAUCUGUCAACCACACUGAUUGCCAGAAUUGAUUUGAUAGAUCUGCCCUGUUGGGAAGGUGUCCCCUUUCUUCCUGGCUCUGCUACAUGUGUCUCUCUCAAAGCUGCAUGCUUCAUUGAAGAGGAUGAUUUUCCCAGAGAAAGGAGGACAAUGAUCUACAUGG